rnacentral:lncRNA from 10 species
AAUGGGAAGACAAAGAUCUUUUGUAUUGGCACUACCAGCUGUGUCCCUCUGAGGGGGUAAUUUUUGCCUUUUGAAGACGUUGGGAGGGUUAAAGUUCAGGAAAUUAUUUUUAAAACUGUUUCAGUGAAUAUUUAGAAAAAUAUUAGUGGAGAUAGAAUUAAUUGCUCCGCAGUGGAGUGGCUCUCUUUCUACAUUUUCUUUUUUUUUGAGACGAGUCUCGCUCUGUCCCCCAGGCUGGAGUGCAAUGGUGCGAUCUCAGCUCACUGCAACCUCCGCCACCCGGGUUCAAGCGAUUAUCCUGCCUCAGCCUCCUGAGUAGAUAGGAUUACAGGCAUGUGCCACCACACCCAGAUUGACUUGAUGCAAAACAUCACAAAGGCUCCAUAUUAUACAGUAUGCGAUUUUUGAGAACUGAUAGUGCAUCAGCCGACCCAGAUAAUUUAAAAUAUUCUUCAUCCAGAGAUAGAGGUGGUUCUUCCUCUUAUGGACUGCAACCUUCAAAUUCAGCUGUGGUGUCUCGGCAAAGGCACGAUGAUACCAGAGUCCACGCUGACAUACAGAAUGA